UAGGGAAUCUUCGGCAAUGGACGAAAGUCUGACCGAGCAACGCCGCGUGAGUGAAGAAGGUUUUCGGAUCGUAAAACUCUGUUGUUAGAGAAGAACAAGGACGUUAGUAACUGAACGUCCCCUGACGGUAUCUAACCAGAAAGCCACGGCUAACUACGUGCCAGCAGCCGCGGUAAUACGUAGGUGGCAAGCGUUGUCCGGAUUUAUUGGGCGUAAAGCGAGCGCAGGCGGUUUCUUAAGUCUGAUGUGAAGGCCCCCGGCUCAACCGGGGAGGGUCAUUGGAAACUGGGAGACUUGAGUGCAGAAGAGGAGAGUGGAAUUCCAUGUGUAGCGGUGAAAUGCGUAGAUAUAUGGAGGAACACCAGUGGCGAAGGCGGCUCUCUGGUCUGUAACUGACGCUGAGGCUCGAAAGCGUGGGGAGCAAACAGG
rnacentral:rRNA from 1 species